CCGCGGUAACACGUACUGUGCGAACGUUAUUCGGAAUCACUGGGCUUAAAGGGUGCGUAGGCGGCCAGACAAGUAGGGUGUGAAAGCUCUCGGCUCAACCGAGGAAUUGCGCUCUAAACUGUUUGGCUUGAGUAAGAUAGGGGUGUGCGGAACUUCCGGUGGAGCGGUGAAAUGUGUUGAUAUCGGAAGGAACACCGGUAGCGAAAGCGGCACACUGGGUCUUAACUGACGCUGAGGCACGAAAGCCAGGGUAGCGAACGGG
rnacentral:rRNA from 1 species